UCGACGGUACCUUCAGCGUCCGCAUCAAUUCCCCAUCUAACACAUCCAUUGAAUAUUUCAGUUUCCUCUUCCCAAUCAACCCCCUGAUGGCACACAUGCUUCAUCUUCCCACGAUCUCCGUUCGAAUCGGAAACGGAUGGACGAAUGCGACGAGUUCCCGCACAUCUUCCCUUUUAAAUUUGUGCUCCACCCUCCCCCGUCUUCUCUAUCAUCACUCCCCACUGCAGACGGGGUUCUUCCAAAGAGCUCACAUGCUGCUGGACGUCUUCCCCUCCGAUCAGUGUGUUUUACCCCUUCGUCACUGCAUACACAUGCUCGCCGAAAGAUAGUGGUUCAUUUAAGAUGAGUAGCACCCUUCACCCCUCUAGAUCAUCUCGUGUCUGUUAGAUUUGCCAACAUGGAUACAACAGAAAGUUCUUCCCGCAUUAUGGGUUCGAACUCUGCCCCCCUAGGCCACGAACGUCAAGCAGGAAUGUCGCGUGGCCGUGGACGCCGACGCCGUCGGUCAUCACCUAAUCCUACUCCCCUACCAAACCCAUAUGUUGCUGACGAGAACCGUCGUAGGCGUAUUCAUCUAAUGCAUCAAAACAGAAACAAAGCAACAACGUCCGUGGAGGAACAUUCAUCGUGCCAGCCGUUAAAUGAAGAAUCAUCUGCAUCAACAUCACACACUCAAAAUCCGAUCUUUAAACAUCGCCGGACAAUCUUUGAACCCUUAAACCUUGGAGGCCCCAAACAUUCAUGCAAACACUGCGGCGCUCUGUUUUGGUACGAAGAGCGUCUACGCAGAGAUAGAAAUACACCAAAUCCAAUCUAUAAUUUGUGUUGUAAAGGAGGAAAGGUGUUCCUGCAGCCAUCUGAUCCUCCUCCUCAGCCCCUCAUGGAUUAACGCAAAAAAAGUUUACAGGUAUCGUCAAGUUCUGCAACUCAGAUUUAUCUUAACCUCGAUAUACCUGAAGUCCAAAAGUAUAGCAGCAGGUUCUCUCUCCCCCCACUGUUUACCUACAAAUUUUCUAUUCCACAAGACAACAUAUACUAAUAUUCGGUACUGAUUUUUCACAAGUUAUAAAUGGAAAUAUCCAACUCUCCAGAAGCACGCCCCUCAAGUGAAAAAGUUAUCUCCUCUUGAAGCAGCAGGAAAAUUAUACACCAUUCAUCCAAUAACUUCUCAGCCAACUACAUCAUUUCAGGGAGGAGCAACCUUCUGUACAAUUGCCAAAGUCACAUCAAUAAUACCAUCAGUCAAGUGGUAUUAUAAAGCAUGCAAGCAUUGUGGCAAAGGCUACAACAUGAUGUCAGAUAGUGCAACAUGCACCUGCCAAUUUCCAGUUCCGCUCCCAAUGUACAAGCUUCCCCUUACGCUAACAGAUAGCUCAGGAAGUUUGGAUGCAAUUGCUUUCUUCAAAGUGGCCAAAGACUUAGUUGAGCGUCUCGCCGAACAAGCUUGCAUGAAUAUGAAGAUAGAUGCUGAAGAACAUGUGGUUACCCUUGAUAAUUCCAUUGGUAAAUAAAGGUUAUUCUAUAUAGGAAUGAAUGCUGAGAUGGCUGGCAAGUACCCUAUAAGUUAUGUCCUCAAGAAAAGUUUUCCUCUGGCAAAUACAGAUUUCGUGCCUAUGCUUACUGCUCCAGAGUCAGCACCUCAUAACAAUCAGUUGUCCCUUCAAACUUCAUCUUCCACUAUUCCAAGCCCAGGCGCGCAGAAACCAGAUGCUUCCUAUGUCAAUACACCUCCAACUGAUACAGAAACAUCUGCCCACACAAAAGAAGAUGAAAACAAAUCAAUAGCAAAAAGAUGCAUUGAUUUUACCGAAGAUGAUGGAGACAAAUCAAAGAGGCAGAAGCAAGACAAUGCAGACAAUAACACUGUGGCAAACAACUAGGAGGAGCAACAGUCAAGCCAAUCUGCAUAAGGCAUAUCAUAGAACAUAUACGAGUAUGCGACCAGCAAAUGAAGAAGCUUUUCAUCCUACGACAACAUAAUAUUUCCGGGACUGAUAAUAGCCAAUACCGGUAGUGAUCAACUUAUGUCCUGCCUGAGAAACAUCCACAUACGAAACAACUGUUGCAAACUAUAUCUAUGUCCUCGACUGCAUCCACAUGUACCUGCAUGGAUAUUAUUAAUAAACCCAGCUUUCACCGCUUUGAAGUUUC